rnacentral:rRNA from 1 species
GAUGAACGCUGGCGGCGUGCCUAAUACAUGCAAGUCUAGCGAACGGACGAGAAGCUUGCUUCUCUGAUGUUAGCGGCGGACGGGUGAGUAACACGUGGAUAACCUACCUAUAAGACUGGGAUAACUUCGGGAAACCGGAGCUAAUACCGGAUAAUAUUUUGAACCGCAUGGUUCAAAAGUGAAAGACGGUCUUGCUGUCACUUAUAGAUGGAUCCGCGCUGCAUUAGCUAGUUGGUAAGGUAACGGCUUACCAAGGCAACGAUGCAUAGCCGACCUGAGAGGGUGAUCGGCCACACUGGAACUGAGACACGGUCCAGACUCCUACGGGAGGCAGCAGUAGGGAAUCUUCCGCAAUGGACGAAAGCCUGACGGAGCAACGCCGCGUGAGUGAUGAAGGUCUUCGGAUCGUAAAACUCUGUUAUUAGGGAAGAACAUAUGUGUAAGUAACUGUGCACAUCUUGACGGCACCUAAUCAGAAAGCCACGGCUAACUACGUG